rnacentral:rRNA from 1 species
UGAUUUGUCUGGUUAAUUCCGUUAACGAUCGAGACCUUAGCCUGCUAACUAGUCGCGACGAUCUCGAUCGCCGUCGACUUCUUAGAGGGACUUUGUGGUUUUAAAACACAAGGAAGUUUGAGGCAAUAACAGGUCUGUGAUGCCCUUAGAUGUUCUGGGCCGCACGCGCGCUACACUGACGACUUCAACAAGUUUUUUGGCAUUGCCAAAUUUCCUUGGCCGGAAGGUCUGGGUAAUCUUUUAAAAGGUCGUCGUGAUGGGGCUAGAUUCUUGCAAUUAUUAAUCUCCAACGAGGAACC